rnacentral:piRNA from 1 species
UGGAAAGGAGGAACUACUACAAG